UCUCUCUCUCUCUCUCUCUCUCUUCCUUCCUUCCUUCCUUCCUUCCUUUCUUUCUUUUUUCCUUUCUUUCUUUCUUUCUUUCUUUCUUUCUUUCUUUCUUUCUUUCUUUCUCUCUUUCUUUCUUUCUUUGUUUAUUUCUUUCUUUCUCUCUCUUUCUUUCUAUCUUCUUUCCUUCCUUCUAUCCCUCCUUCCUUCCUUUCUCUUUCUUCCUUCCUUCCUUCCUUCCUUUCUUUUUUCCUUUCUUUCUUUCUUUCUUUCUUUCUUUCUUUCUUUCUUUCUUUCUUUCUUUCUUUCUUUCUCUCUCUUUCUUUCUAUCUUCUUUCCUUCCUUCUAUCCCUCCUUCCUUCCUUUCUUUUUAAACCUGUACUUUCUCUCAAUAUAAUUUCUAAAACAGAAGAGUGGCAAGGGCUAUGCAAUAAGUUAAAUGACUUGCCCAGAGUCACACAGCUAGGAAAUAUCUUGGAUCAGAUUUGAAUACAGCUGCUCACAACUCCAGGCCUGAUGUUCUGUCCACUUUUCUACCAAUUGCCUUUACCUGAAAAUUGAAUUUUGAGAUUGCAGAUGACUACUGAAAGACUCCAGAAGUCAUCUAGUUCAGUUUCCACAUCAAAAAUUAAAGAAUAUCUGAAAUGUAUAGAACUGAAUACUUAUAGUUUAUAUCCCCUCAAACUGGGAUUAUGAAAACUACUCCUUGGUUCAUGAUAUAAUUUGGGUCAGCAACCAUUCAAAACAAUAGUCCAUGAGCUCUUACCAUUGCUUUUUAAAAUUUUUUUUGCUAAAUCAAACUAGGCAACACAUUGUUUCAAGGGGGAAAAAAACAGUUAAAAGAGAAGAACAAGUUAAAUCCCAAAGAAAACCCCUUCCAUUCUGCCAAGGGCACACUCACAGUCUCAUAAAUUCCCAUGCCAUUAAUGGGUGAAAGAACAUACUCUAUCACAAUAAUUUUUUGAUCUCUGAAUUUCAAAGAAGCAAAAGGUCGUUAGAAUCCCUAAGAAGUCAUUUAGUCAGGACAGCUAGGUGGAUCAGUGAACAGAGAACCAAGCCUGGAGACUAGAGGUCCUGAGUUCAAAUAUGGCCUCAGAUACUUCCUAGCUAUAUAACCUUAGUCAAGUCACUUAGCCCCAAUUGCCUAGCCUUUAGAAC
rnacentral:lncRNA from 1 species